rnacentral:rRNA from 1 species
GUAGGGAAUAUUGCGCAAUGGGGGAAACCCUGACGCAGCGACGCCGCGUGAGUGAUGAAGGCCUUCGGGUCGUAAAGCUCUGUUGCAGGGGAAUAAAAAAAUGAAGGUACCCUGUGAGGAAGGAUCGGCUAACUUCGUGCCAGCAGCCGCGGUAAGACGAGGGAUCCUAGCGUUGCUCGGAAUCAUUGGGCGUAAAGAGGGCGUAGGUGGCUUGGUAAGUCAGGUGUGAAAGCCCAGGGCUCAACCCUGGAAGUGCAUUUGAUACUGCUGAGCUUGAGUGUCGGAGAGGUUACCGGAAUACCUGGUGUAGUGGUGAAAUGCGUAGAUAUCAGGUGGAACACCGGAGGCGAAGGCGGGUAACUGGACGAACACUGACACUGAGGCCCGAAAGCGUGGGGAUCAAACAGGAUUAGAUACCCCAGUAGUCC